AAAAUUUUGAGCUGAAUGAAUUAUAUCCUUAAAAAUUUAAUGAAAAGUAUGUUUUGAAUGAAAACUCAAAGUUUUCUAGUUUUUAAUAUUUUCUCUAGAAAGUGUCCACUACCGAAAAACAUUGCAGUUGAAAUAAUUGAGAGUUUUGCCCUUACUCAUCAGGAAUUGGAAUCAUACGCAUCGAAUGUAACUUCUGGUAGGGCAUUUUUUUUUUCCCUGCCUAAAAGCCAUUCACCGUGCCAUUCUGAAUUUUGGCAUGACAUUUGAGAAUACAGCAGUGCCCCCUUAUCCUUGAGUUCACUUCUAAAGUUUCAGUUACCCGCAGUCAACAAUGGUCCAAAAAUAUUACAUGGAAAAUUCCAGAAAUAAACAUGAAUUCGUAAGUUUUAAAUUGUGUGCCGUUCUGCAUAAUGUGGUGAAAUCUCACAUCAUCCUGCUCUGUCCCCUCCAGGACGUGAAUCAUCCCUUUGUCCAGUGUGUCCACGCUGUAGGCACUACCCAGCCAUUAGUCUCUUAGAAACUAUCUCAGUUCUCAGAUCGACUACUGAGGUAUCGCAGUGCUUCUGUUCAAGUAACUUGUUUUACUUAAUGAUGGCCCCAAAGCACAAGAGUAGGGAUGCUGGCAAUUCCGAUAUGCCAAAGAGAAGCCGUAAAGUGCUUCCUUUAAGUGAUAAGGUGAAAGUUCCCAUUUAAUAAGGAAAUAAAAUCAUAUGCUGAGGUUGCUAAGGUCGACCGUAACUUUCAUUCCAGUAUAUUGUUGUAAUUGUUCUAUUUUAUUGUUAUUAAUCUCUCACUGUGUGUCAUUUAUAAAUUAAACUUAGUCAUAGGUAUGUACGUGUAGGAAAAAACUUUGUACAUGUAGGGUUCAGUCCUAUCCACAGUUUCAGGCAUCCACUGAGGGUCUUGGAACAUAUCCCCUGCAGUUAAGGGGGGACUUUUGUAUUGAAUUCUCUUUUCCUGCCUACCCUGUUCAUUCGAUUUAGGGUUACCUUUUCUCUUUAUGGCAUCAUUCAUACUUCCAAAACAUAUUCCUCAAACUGUAUUCUGUGGCUGAUUACCCUCAUCUUUGCAACUCUUCUUCACUUCAUUUGGGUUUUCAGACAG
rnacentral:lncRNA from 1 species